GACGAACGCUGGCGGCGUGCUUAACACAUGCAAGUCGAGCGGAAAGGCCACUUCGGUGGUACUCGAGCGGCGAACGGGUGAGUAACACGUGAGUAAUCUGCCCCUGGCUUUGGGAUAGCCACCGGAAACGGUGAUUAAUACCGGAUAUGACAUGGACUCGCAUGGGUUUGCGUGGAAAGUUUUUCGGCCAGGGAUGUGCUCGCGGCCUAUCAGCUUGAUGGUGAGGUAAUGGCUCACCGUGGCUU
rnacentral:rRNA from 1 species